CGAUGCGUUGAGCUGACCGGUACUAAUGACCCGUGAGGCUUAACCUU
rnacentral:rRNA from 1 species